GGCUACACCCAGCCAAUGGGCCACACCCACCUGGCACCCGAUGAUGCAUAAGUGGGUUUUGGGUUGCAGUUUGGGCACUUGGUCUCUAAAAGGUUCACCAUCACUGGCAUAGGGGAUAACUUGAAUCCAGACCAUGUCCAUCAUUUUAUAUUAUAACUGAGCAUCUUUUCAAAAUUCUGACCCGGCACUAGAACUGCUCCUUCGAAGGGAAGGGAGAAACUCAAUGGGGCCAGUGAAACCACAUAUCAUCUCUGGGACCUUCUGUAAUGGCUAGUUGUUGUUCAAGCAUGGAAAGGAUCAUGCAAGGUAUUGCUCUAAGACUGAAAGGUAUCCGUGUCUAACCUGAUUGGAACAUCCUUUAUUAACAAUAUCUGGACAAAGUGUUUGCUUCAGCAUCUCCCAACACCUUCAGGGAAUUAUAGGAUUAGGCUUCAUCCCUCACCAACUACCUAAUUUGCAAUUCACAGACUGAAUCUGUUCUCUGCAACUCAACCGUCCUGGAAGACGGAACAUCCUGUCAUGUUAGGACACUUGGAUAUCUCAUCCGGCGGCAAUCAAGCAGAUGAAGGCAUGGAACGCUCUGGAUAUUACAACUCGAAGUUUGCAAAGAUGCGGAGAUGUACAGUUGGAUAAGCACGAUUGCAAAAAAAAAAAAAAGAAUGCACAUUAUGCCUUAUGGAACAAAGCCAUCAUAUGCAUUAGAAAUUCCUCAAAGUCUCUUUUGGGGAAAUAAAUGUCAUACAAGGAAUUACACUUUUCAGACAAAGAAAAAGGGAUCAUGUCGGCCAUUCCAAGCCAGAGGAAAACUUAAUGGUGCUCAAACUUUCUACCCCUACUCAAGGCAACAGGAAUGUUUGCAAUGCAUAUGGAGUGGCGCAGGAGAUGUUUCUUUACCCUUCAAAUUCCACUGGUGCUAAGCUCCUGCUCUCCUGAAUUAUCAGAAGCAAAAAGGUCCCUGAUCAGAUCUGUUUAUACAGCUCUUCCCCCAAAAUGGAGUUGGGCAGCCAAUCAAUCAAUAAACAAACUUAUUCUCAAGAUAAUUCAAACUUACUAUCUUGAUAGUUCAACCUACAUGUACAGUAUAUUUCACCUUUGGGGAUAUUCCUUGAAAUAAGCAGUAAAACAUUUUCUGGGAUCAUGUGAUGCUUUCAACCGUUCUAAUUUUGGCCAACAUUUUUACUUCACUACUUCUGUUGCAAAGCCAUAUUGAUGAAUGGGAACUGCAAAGAAACCUCACUAUGUUGUAUGGAUGUACAUCUUUGUGGACCAUCGGGCAGAGUCACAACGUCGCUAUCAUUUCCUACAACCCAGAUAGUUUCAGGAAUUCUAUUUUGGGAUUACUGGUGAGCGAGCUACCUUCUGAGAGCAUUUGUUCACCAUUACCAGUAACAGGUGUUCCUUGACUUACAUUUCUGUUGCCAAGCGAGACAAUUGUUAAGCGAGUUUAGCUCUAUUUUACACUUUUCUUGCCACAGUCAUUAAGCAAAACACUGCAGAUGUUAAGUUACUAACACGGAUGUUAAGUGAAUCUAGCUUCCCCAUUGAAUUUGCUUGUCAGAAGGUCCGCAAAAGGGGGUCACACGCUUAUAAGCGUGAAAAACAAUUAUAGGUCACUUUUUUCAUUGCUGUUGUAACUUUGAAUGGUCACUAACAAAAUGGUUGUAAGCUAAGAACCAUCUGUACUUUCAUUGUGGAACACCCAAACAGCUGGGUGGCAGGUGACUUUCAUUAUAUGUAAAGAAAUAUUUUUGUUAAUUUUGAACUGAACACUCCUGCAUUGUCAUAUUUCCACUAUGAUAAAGCUUUAUUCUAUGUACUGUUCCAUAAAGUACUGUACAUUUAUAGUUGCACAAUUUGUCACUUAUGAGUGUAGAAUUUUACUACCAUUUGGUGCUACCUUUUUCUCCCUUUGUGAUUUAAAGCAAUGGUUUGCAGCUGAAUAUGGAUAUUUUAUUCUAAUACAAGGCAAUAAUGGAAUGUUAGGUUGUUCACUAGAGAGCAAACAUGUAUAUAUGCUUUAAAAACAAUUAGAUAUGAACUAUAGUCAAGAUAAUAUUUCUAAUUCUUUUUCCUGGUGCUGGCUAAAAUUGGUCAAAGAAAUACAGUCAAGCUGAAUAAAACCAACUGUAAUUUAAAAAAAAAGUAAUUCCACUCUGGAAAUGAGAGAAGCUUCAUUGUGUUUGAAAUAAAUAUUAAUAUUAAAAAUAAAUAAAUGUAUUUUUUCCAAAAUUUCAA